UCUCCGUUGGUGAACCAGCGGAGGGAUCAUUACAGAGUUGCAAAACUCCCAAACCAUCGUGAACGUUACCUAUCCCGUUGCUUCGGCGGGCGGCCCGGGCCCCGCGCCCGGCGCCCCCCGGCCCCCCGUGGGCGCCCGCCGGAGGUAAACCUAACCCUUGAAUUGCAUGGCCUCUCUGAGUCUUCUGUACUGAAUAAGUCAAAACUUUCAACAACGGAUCUCUUGGUUCUGGCAUCGAUGAAAACGCAGC
rnacentral:misc_RNA from 1 species